CUCCGUAGGUGAACCUGCGGAGGGAUCAUUACACAAAUAUGAAGGCGGGCUGGAACCUCUCGGGGUUACAGCCUUGCUGAAUUAUUCACCCUUGUCUUUUGCGUACUUCUUGUUUCCUUGGUGGGUUCGCCCACCACUAGGACAAACAUAAACCUUUUGUAAUUGCAAUCAGCGUCAGUAACAAAUUAAUAAUUACAACUUUCAACAACGGAUCUCUUGGUUCUGGCAUCGAUGAAGAACGCAGCGAAAUGCGAUAAGUAGUGUGAAUUGCAGAAUUCAGUGAAUCAUCGAAUCUUUGAACGCACAUUGCGCCCUUUGGUAUUCCAAAGGGCAUGCCUGUUCGAGCGUCAUUUGUACCCUCAAACUUUGCUUGGUGUUGGGCGUCUUGUCUCUAGCUUUGCUGGAGACUCGCCUUAAAGUAAUUGGCAGCCGGCCUACUGGUUUCGGAGCGCAGCACAAGUCGCACUCUCUAUCAGCAAAGGUCUAGCAUCCAUUAAGCCUUUUUUUCAACUUUUGACCUCGGAUCAGGUAGGGAUACCCGCUGAACUUAAGCA
rnacentral:rRNA from 1 species